GGAAGCUCUAUGGAUCGUGUAAUUCCUUGUAGAGCCCUCCUACCCCAGGAGAAGUGGGAAUAAGAUGCCCAGCUCUGCGCUAAUAUCAACACCGUCUAUUUACUUUCUACUCUGAGGCAUUCGCUCUGCAGGAUUCCAGACCCUACUAAAUUAUUCACAUGGCCCCAACCGGUCCUUCCUUGUUCCGCGGUCCUAACACAAUGAAUGGUCCUAAGAGGAAAACGGCCUCGCGCUCCCGCUCCAGGCCCACUUCGCAGUCCCUAGUUCUCCCUACUGCCGCUCCAGUGCCAGAGCCCC
rnacentral:lncRNA from 1 species